GGAAAAACCACCAAGCUACAACUUCAAAGCUUACCUUAUUUAGAAAAGGAGAAAAGGCUUUUUUAUAGAUGUUGAGGUUGAGUAAGGGGGGCGGAGCUUGAAGAGCGAAGCGAGCCGCGUUAGCCUAGCAACAAUUUUUAGCAGCAAGCUAAGGUCUAACGACCCCCUAUCCUAGGUUGGGGCGAAAACUCCAAAAUCCAAAAUGUUGCUUAGGGUUCCAAACCUUUCUCUAGUAAUAAGGUAUGCUUUCAAGCCGCCGCCCUUUGAAGGAGCGGGCGUAGUGAACUAUAAUUGUGAAAAGAUUAGAAGAUCUAGCCAAAGAAGAUGAUAGCCCUGUAGAUACAUUCCCAUGGUUCGAUCCUUCCCGGUAAAACACAGCGUGUUCGAAUUCUGAUCGCUUUUAUGUGAGAAAGGUGGACCACCCUCUAAGCCUAAGUAUUCCUCAAUGACCGAUAGUGUACAAUUACAAUGAGGGAAAGGUGAAAAGAACCCUAUUUAGGGAGUGCAAUAGAUAACCUGAGAUCCGAUGCGAAUAAUCAGUCGAAGGAGCAAAGCUUAGAGCCUUUACUUUAUGUAAAGUACACUCACUCUAAUGGCGUACCUUUUGCAUGAUGGGUCAGCGAGGAAACUCCGAAUACAGGCCUAGAUCAUUUGUACAGACAGAAUUUUUGGGUGCUAAGAUCCAAAGUUAAGAGGGAAACAGCCCAGAUCGAAUGCUAAGGUCCCUAAGCAAUCACUUAGUGGAAAAGGAAGUGAUCGAGUGAUGACAACCACAGGUAGGCUUGGAAGCAACCAUCCUUUGAAGAAAGCGUAAUAGCUCACUGGUCUAGCUCUAUGUCUAGCUCACGGGAACCAUCUUAUUUCAGGGCUCAAGUGAUUCACCAAAGCAACGAGACCUUAAAAGCUACUUUUUCAAGUGUUAGUAGCGGAACGUUCUAUCAAUAGGGGAAGUUUUUGGUGACAAAACCUGGAGAUAUCAGAAGUGAGAAUGCUGACAUGAGUAACGAAAAAUCCUAUGAAAAACACGAUCGCCUGCCAGUGGAAGGUUUUCUGCAUUCAGUCAAUCUACGCAGAGUGAAUCGGUCCCUAAGAAACCCCCGAAAAGGCUGGCGUCUGAUGGGUACAUGAAAGUGAUGAAGUUGCUUUAACUACAGAACCAUGGCUGUCUAUUGGAGAGAAUUAGAUGAUCGAUCCGAGGGCUGCCCCAUCUUUCCCUUACUCUCCUUUCCCUAAUAUGAACCUUGAGUCAUCAAAGCCUUUCUGACUUGGCCUGGUUCGGUCGCCUUACGUGACUGGAGCUUCAAAAGGCGAAACUCUCGGUCGUAGUUUGGCGACCUAUCUUCAGUAGGGGCCUUUAGUCUUUUGAUUAGAGUAGGGGUCACGAGAGAGUAGAGUGUACCCCCCUGUCAUAGUCACGAGUCUGUUUAUAGUCACGACUAUUGUCAUAGUCAACAAGGUUGAAACUUCCAAGAAAAAACUUCGAAUUCGGAGGGCGAUCCUCCCGGUGAUUUAACUGUACCCCAAAAUGACACAGGUGAAAAAGUAGGUAUACUAGGGCGCUUGAGAGAACCAUGUCGAAGGAACUCAACAAAAUGACCCCGUAACUUUGGGAGAAAGGUGCUCUCUUAUGUUUUGAUUAGGAAAGCGGCACAUACUAGGGGGUAGUGAGUGUUUAUUAAAAACAAAGGACUCUGCUAAAUGGUAACACUAUGUAUAGAGUCUGACACCUUUCCGGUACUGGAAGGUCGGAAGGAGAAGUGUCAUAAGCUUUUAAUGGAAGCCCCGGUAAACGGCGGCAGUAACUCUAAUUGUCCUAAGGUAGCAAAAUUCCUUGUCGAAUAAGUAGCGACCUGCACGAAUGGUGUAACGACUGCCCCGCUGUCUCCAAAAUGGACCCGGUGAAAUUGAAUUCUCCGUGAAGAUGCAGAGUACGAAUAGCUAGACGGUAAGACCCCGCGCACCUUAACUAUAGCUUCACAGUGACAACCUUAAUCGAAUGUGUAGGAUAGGUGGGAGGUGGUAACAUACAACGACCAAUCCUGAAAGACCACUCUUUCAUCUAAGGAUGCCUAACCGAUGCACCGAUCAUUCGGGGGAGGCGGGACACUGCGAGGUGGGUAAUUUAUCUAGGGCCGAUGACUCUUAAAGAGUAACGAAGGUAUGCGAAGGUAGGCUCAAGCUAAGAUUCUGCUCGUGAGCAUAAUGGUAUUAGCCUGCCUGACUGUGAGACCGACUGGUAGAACAGAGACAAAAGUCAACCAUAGUGAUCCGGGAGUCCCGUGUGGAAGGGCUCUCGCUUAACGGAUCAAAGGUACGUCGGGGAUAACAGGCUGAUGACACCCAAGAGAUCUUAUCGACGGAGUCGUUUGGUACCUCGAUGUCGACUCAUCACAUCCUGGGGUUAAAGAAGGUCCCAAGGGUUCAAUUGUUCGCUGAUUCACGUGGUACGUGAGUUAGGUUUAGAAUGUCAUAAGAUAGUUCAGUUCCUAUCGACUAUUGGUGUUAAAAGGAGAACUGCGAAGAGCCAACCCUACCACGAGAGGACUGGGUUGGGCUAACCAAUGGUGUACCGGUUGUUAUGCCAGUAGCAGUGCCGGGUAGCUAAGUUGGUAUGGAAGAACUGAUGCGCCGCGGGAAAAUUUUCUCUAUAAAUGUUCUUGGAUGAGGUUUUUGAACAGAACUCUGAUAGGCGAGAGGUGUAAGCACCGCGAGGUGUGAAGCGAUCUCGUACUAAACGAAACAACUUUCACUU
rnacentral:rRNA from 1 species